rnacentral:rRNA from 1 species
CGAGGGAAAGUUGCAAAGAAAUUUGAAGAGAGAUUUGAAGAGUACGUGAAACUGAUCAGAGUUAAACGGGUGCGCUCUCGAAAUCCUGUGGCGGCGGGAUUCAGUCAGAAGAGGCGGAGGUGUUUGUCGGUUGAUCGAAACGGGAAAGGCGGCACGGUCUCCGCUUCGCCUGACGCAUUUCCUCCCGCACGAAGGACGCGCCGCAGCCGGUUGUGUAGCUGCGCGAUUCGGCCUUAAGGGCGAGCAACGGAAGGUGGCCGGUGGCGUCGCAUCCGCUUCGCCGCCGGUUGUUAGCCAGCUCGUCCGUGGCGCGACAACCGACCGAGGUCAGAAAGGUCCCUUUCCCGCGACUCGCCGCCUCACUCUCUGAGUGGCCGGCGCGUCGAGGCUGCCUGUGGCCCAAGAGAACCACGGCGGGUUCCGGCGGCUCGCGGCGAGUAGGUCGGUUACCCACUCGACCCGUCUUGAAACACGGAUCAAGGAGUCUAACAAGUGCGCGAGUCACGGGGUCUUCCUUAGGCCCAGAGGCGCAAUGAAAGUGAAGGUGGUCCUCGACGCCCACUGUGUGGGGACUCUCCGUCCGGUCACGGGUCACGGGCGGGGAAGUCCCAUCCGAAUCAACGGUUGGGCGGGGUCUGAGCGUACACGUUGGGACCCGAAAGAAGGUGAACCAUGCCUGGGCGGUACGAAGCCAGAGGAAAACCUGGUGGAGGUCCGUAGCGGUUCUGACAUGCAAAUCG